ensembl:snoRNA LOC120103346 small nucleolar RNA SNORA17
CGUGUUCCCAGAAGAAAGACAAGGUGCUUCAGUAGGGGGCAGGGAGGAGAAGGUUAUGUUCAUGUUCAGUGUUCUGACCAAUGAACAUCUGAAUGAAACUUUCCCUGAAAAA